AGUGGUGAUGCAACAUGGGGGCUUAAGUGGGAAGAACUUGGGAGGCAGGUGAAGUCCAAGUAGCAGAAGAUUGGGAGGUGAACCUGCAUGGAGGGUGCCCCCGACCUCUUUGGCACAUUGACAACUUCAGACUUUCAACCUACUCUCUGGUCUACUAAUUGGCUGACUUGGCCAUUCUUAUGUUUUGCUUAAAGCAAGUUAAUGCCUGUGGUUCCUGGGUAGUUCAGUUUGUUAAGCAUCUGCCUUCAGCUCAGGUCAUGAUCC